UUUGACUGGGGCGGUCUCCUCCUAAAGAGUAACGGAGGAGCACGAAGGUUGGCUAAUCCUGGUCGGACAUCAGGAGGUUAGUGCAAUGGCAUAAGCCAGCUUGACUGCGAGCGUGACGGCGCGAGCAGGUGCGAAAGCAGGUCAUAGUGAUCCGGUGGUUCUGAAUGGAAGGGCCAUCGCUCAACGGAUAAAAGGUACUCCGGGGAUAACAGGCUGAUACCGCCCAAGAGUUCAUAUCGACGGCGGUGUUUGGCACCUCGAUGUCGGCUCAUCACAUCCUGGGGCUGAAGUAGGUCCCAAGGGUAUGGCUGUUCGCCAUUUAAAGUGGUACGCGAGCUGGGUUUAGAACGUCGUGAGACAGUUCGGUCCCUAUCUGCCGUGGGCGCUGGAGAACUGAGGGGGGCUGCUCCUAGUACGAGAGGACCGGAGUGGACGCAUCACUGGUGUUCGGGUUGUCAUGCCAAUGGCACUGCCCGGUAGCUAAAUGCGGAAGAGAUAAGUGC
rnacentral:rRNA from 1 species